UACGGGGGUCCCAAGCGUUGUUCGGAUUUACUGGGCGUAAAGGGUGCGUAGGUGGCCAGAAAAGUCUGAUGUGAAAGCCCCGAGCUCAACUCGGGAAUUGCAUUGGAUACUGUCUGGCUUGAGGAUCGGAGGGGAGACUGGAAUUCUCGGUGUAGCAGUGAAACGCGUAGAUAUCGAGAGGAACACCGGUGGCGAAGGCGAGUCUCUGGACGAUUCCUGACACUGAGGCACGAAAGCUAGGGGAGCAAACAGG
rnacentral:misc_RNA from 1 species